rnacentral:rRNA from 1 species
UACGUAGGAGGCGAGCGUUAUCCGGAUUUACUGGGCGUAAAGCGGGCGUAGGCGGCCUGUCAAGUCGGAUGUGAAAUCUCCCGGCUCAACUGGGAGGGUGCAUCGGAAACUGAUGGGCUAGAGUGCAGUAGAGGAAAGCGGAAUUAUCGGUGUAGUGGUGAAAUGCGUAGAUAUCGGUAAGAACACUAGUGGCGAAGGCGGCUUUCUGGGCUGUAACUGACGCUGAGGUCCGAAGGCGUGGGUAGCAAACAGGAUUAGAUACCCCCGUA